GACAGAGGGUGCAAACGUUGUUCGGAAUUACUGGGCGUAAAGCGCGUGUAGGCGGCUUCGCAAGUCGGGUGUGAAAUCCCACGGCUCAACCGUGGAAGUGCAUUCGAAACUGCAAGGCUAGAGUCCUGGAGAGGAAGGUGGAAUGCUUGGUGUAGAGGUGAAAUUCGUAGAUAUCAAGCGGAACACCGGUGGCGAAGGCGACCUUCUGGACAGUGACUGACGCUGAGACGCGAAAAGCGUGGGGAGCGAACGAGGA
rnacentral:rRNA from 1 species